AGAGAUAUAACUCAGUUGGUAGAGUGCUUGCCUUGCAUGCAGAAGGCCCUGGGUUCUAUCCACAGCAUCACAA
rnacentral:tRNA from 1 species